GACGAAGGGGGCUAGCGUUUGUUCGGAAUUACUGGGCGUAAAGCGCGUGUAGGCGGUUGUCCAAGUUGGAUGUGAAAGCCUUGAGCUCAACUCAAGAAAUGCAUUCAGGACUGGGCGACUAGAGGACCGGAGAGGAUAGUGGAAUUCCCAGUGUAGUGGUGAAAUACGUAGAGAUUGGGAAGAACACCCGUGGCGAAGGCGGUUCUCUGGGACGGGUACUGACGCUGAGACGCGAAAGCGUGGGGAGCGAACAGG
rnacentral:rRNA from 1 species